rnacentral:rRNA from 1 species
GAUGAACGCUGACAGAAUGCUUAACACAUGCAAGUCAACUUGAAUUUGGGUUUUUAACUUAGGUUUGGGUGGCGGACGGGUGAGUAACGCGUAAAGAACUUGCCUCACAGCUAGGGACAACAUUUGGAAACGAAUGCUAAUACCUAAUAUUAUGAUAAUAGGGCAUCCUAUAAUUAUGAAAGCUAUAAGCGCUGUGAGAGAGCUUUGCGUCCCAUUAGCUAGUUGGAGAGGUAACGGCUCACCAAGGUGAUGAUGGGUAGCCGGCCUGAGAGGGUGAUCGGCCACAAGGGGACUGAGACACGGCCCUUACUCCUACGGGAGGCAGCAGUGGGGAAUAUUGGACAAUGGACCGAGAGUCUGAUCCAGCAAUUCUGUGUGCACGAUGAAGUUUUUCGGAAUGUAAAGUGCUUUCAGUUGGGAAGAAACAAAUGACGGUACCAACAGAAGAAGUGACGGCUAAAUACGUG